rnacentral:rRNA from 1 species
GACAAACAGAUCAAGUUAAGCUGUAAUUGGUGUAAAAGGAAGUAAGAGAGAUAUUUUAAGGAAAAAAGAUUUUUCUUGUAGAGGUGGAAUUUGUGCAGGAAAGAGCGGAUUAUUAUUUUUCUUUAUUCUUGAGACUUCGAAAUUAAGAAUGGAGACCGGGAUUAGAUACCCCGUUAUUUUUAUAGUAAACUUUGGUUAUUCCUACCUGAGUAUUACGGGCAAAAAUAUGAUAGUAAAUAGAUUGUUUUAUUAAGUAUUUGUUUAGCUUAAAACUCAAAAAACUUGGCGGUGCCUUAUUUCUUUCCAGGGGAACCUGUCCUAUAAUCGAUAAUCCACGUUUAAGCUUACUUUUCUUUGUAACUAGUUUUGUCAGUUUGUAUACCGUCGUCGUCAGAUUACCUUUAAGAGACUAGAAGUUGUCGGAAAAAUUUUGUUGAAUAAAAAGAAUUAGAAAUUAUAAAGAUUUUGGUUAUUAGUUCUGUUUGUUUAAUCAAUUUUGAUGUCAGAUCAAGGUGCAGCUAAUAGAAAAGAAGAGAUGGGUUACAUUAUAUAAUUAAUUUGAAUUUUAAGUUGUAAAUCUUAAAUGAAAGUGGACUUGGAAGUAAUAAAUAGGUUUUAAUGAUAAAUUAGUAAGUUGAUGUGAAAAAUUUGUACUAAGGCGCGU